GAUGAAGAACGUAGCGAAAUGCGAUAAGUAAUGUGAAUUGCAGAAUUCAGUGAAUCAUCGAAUCUUUGAACGCACAUUGCGCCCGCCAGUAUUCUGGCGGGCAUGCCUGUUCGAGCGUCAUUUCAACCAUCAAGCCCUGUGCUUGUGUUGGGGGCCUGCGGCUGCCGCAGCCCCCUAAAAGCAGUGGCGGGCUCGCUGUCAUUCCGAGCGCAGUAACUUAUCUCGCUUUGGUCGUGGCGGUGGGCACCUGCCGUAAAACACUCUUUUUCACAAGGUUGACCUCGGAUCAGGUAGGAAUACCCGCUGAACUUAAGCAUAUCAAUAAGCGAGGA
rnacentral:misc_RNA from 1 species